rnacentral:lncRNA from 1 species
UUGUGUUGGGAGUGUGAAAGUUGUUAGAAUUCAAAUAGAGUCACUAGUGUUUUAAAAAAACAAACCGUGACAAAUAGAGCUGGGGAGGCCAUGAAGAGGGGAUUCUCAUGCUUGUAUGCCUAAUACCAAAAAUGAUCACAAAAGAUUCUGCAAAAAUUACAACCUUGCACACAGGCUGCUGCAACCUCACACAAAAAUUACUUCUGCAAGGACAUCUGCCUAGCAACUGCCUGUCCAACCUCGGACUGGUGUGACCUUUGUUACUGAUAUUUGUAGCCAAGGAUAAUUUUUUCAAAACCAUUAUGUAAUCCUCCUCAUUUUUUCCUUUAAAAACCUUUGUUUUUCUUUUUUUUUUGAGUCAGAGUCUCACUCUAUCGCCCAGUAAUUUAUAUGGACAAGAUUCACUUUAACCUAAGUGUUUCCACUAAUUCUACUAAUAGGUUUUUUAAUAAGUUUACUAUCUUGUGUUCCCACACAGAAGAGUUUUGUUUGCUCUCAGAAGCAUUUGUUUACAAACAGCAUUGGCUUUCCCUUCAAUUCAGAGAAAACGCCCUGUCCAAGUGACACAGUGACAUCAUCAUCAUCCAUUAGUCAAACCACCUGUCCUUUUUAGGC